rnacentral:rRNA from 1 species
UACGGAGGAUCCGAGCGUUAUCCGGAUUUAUUGGGUUUAAAGGGUGCGUAGGCGCCUUGUAAGUCAGGGGUGAAAGACGGUAGCUUAACUAUCGCAGUGCCUUUGAUACUGCAGGGCUUGAAUGUACUUGAGGUAGGCGGAAUGUGACAAGUAGCGGUGAAAUGCAUAGAUAUGUCACAGAACACCAAUUGCGAAGGCAGCUACUAAAGUAUGAUUGACGCUGAGGCACGAAAGCGUGGGGAGUCAAACAG